rnacentral:rRNA from 1 species
GACGAACGCUGGCGGCGUGCUUAACACAUGCAAGUCGAACGGAAAGGCCCUGCUUUUGUGGGGUGCUCGAGUGGCGAACGGGUGAGUAACACGUGAGUAACCUGCCCUUGACUUUGGGAUAACUUCAGGAUACUGGGGCUAAUACCGGAUAGGGGCUCCUGCUGCAUGGUGGGGGUUGGAAAGUUUCGGCGGUUGGGGAUGGACUCGCGGCUUAUCAGCUUGUUGGUGGGGUAGUGGCUUACCAAGGCUUUGACGGGUAGCCGGCCUGAGAGGGUGACCGGCCACAUUGGGACUGAGAUACGGCCCAGACUCCUACGGGAGGCAGCAGUGGGGAAUAUUGCACAAUGGGCGGAAGCCUGAUGCAGCAACGCCGCGUGCGGGAUGACGGCCUUCGGGUUGUAAACCGCUUUCGCCUGUGACGAAGCGUGAGUGACGGUAAUGGGUAAAGAAGCACCGGCUAACUACGUG